rnacentral:rRNA from 1 species
AUACGGAGGGUGCAAGCGUUAUCCGGAUUUAUUGGGUUUAAAGGGUGCGCAGGCGGAUAAUUAAGUCAGUGGUGAGAUCCUCCCGCUCAACGGGAGAACUGCCAUUGAUACUGAUAAUCUUGAAUACGGUUGAAGUGGGCGGAAUGUAGCAUGUAGUGGUGAAAUGCAUAGAGAUGCUACAGAACACCGAUCGCGAAGGCAGCUCACUAAGCCGAUAUUGACGCUCAGGCACGAAAGCGUGGGUAGCGAACAGGAUUAGAAACCCCAGUAGUCC